AUUGAACGCUGGCGGCAUGCCUUACACAUGCAAGUCGAACGGCAGCGGGGGAGAAGCUUGCUUUUCCUGCCGGCGAGUGGCGAACGGGUGAGUAAUACAUCGGAACGUGCCCUGUAGUGGGGGAUAACUAGUCGACAGAUUAGCUAAUACCGCAUACGACCUGAGGGUGAAAGUGGGGGACCGCAAGGCCUCAUGCUAUAGGAGCUGCGGAUGUCUGAUUAGUUAGUUGGUGGGGUAAAGGCCGACCAAGGCGACGAUCAGUAGCUGGUCUGAGAGGACGAUCAGCCACACUGGGACUGAGACACGGCCCAGACUCCUACGGGAGGCAGCAGUGGGGAAUUUUGGACAAUGGGCGAAAGCCUGAUCCAGCAAUGCCGCGUGUGUGAAGAAGGCCUUCGGGUUGUAAAGCACUUUUGUCCGGAAAGAAAUGGCUCUGGUUAAUACCUGGGGUCGAUGACGGUACCGGAAGAAUAAGGACCGGCUAACUACGUGCCAGCAGCCGCCGUAA
rnacentral:rRNA from 1 species